rnacentral:rRNA from 1 species
UACAGAGGGUGCGAGCGUUAAUCGGAAUUACUGGGCGUAAAGGGUGAGUAGGCGGUUUUUUAAGUUAGAUGUGAAAUCCCCGGGCUUAACCUGGGAAUUGCAUUUAAGACUGGAAGGCUGGAGUAGAGUAGAGGGAAGUGGAAUUUCCGGUGUAGCGGUGAAAUGCGUAGAUAUCGGAAAGAACAUCAGUGGCGAAGGCGGCUUCCUGGACUCAUACUGACGCUGAGUCACGAAAGCAUGGGUAGCAAACAGG